AGUGAACGCUGGCGGUAGGCCUAACACAUGCAAGUCGAACGGCAGCACAGUAAGAGCUUGCUCUUACGGGUGGCGAGUGGCGGACGGGUGAGGAAUACAUCGGAAUCUACUUUUUCGUGGGGGAUAACGUAGGGAAACUUACGCUAAUACCGCAUACGACCUACGGGGGAAAGCAGUGGAUCUUCGGACCUUGCGCGAUUGAAUGAGCCGAUGUCGGAUUAGCUAGUUGGCGGGGUAAAGGCCCACCAAGGCGACGAUCCGUAGCUGGUCUGAGAGGAUGAUCAGCCACACUGGAACUGAGACACGGUCCAGACUCCUACGGGAGGCAGCAGUGGGGAAUAUUGGACAAUGGGCGCAAGCCUGAUCCAGCCAUACCGCGUGGGUGAAGAAGGCCUUCGGGUUGUAAAGCCCUUUUGUUGGGAAAGAAAAGCAGCAGGUUAAUACCCCGCUGUUCUGACGGUACCCAAAGAAUAAGCACCGGCUAACUACGUG
rnacentral:rRNA from 1 species